AAUCUAAAAGUUAUCUAUUUACUAAAAUGCUCCCAUGUAUUCACAGAAUUGGAAAACCAGGUUCUUGAACCCCUUUCUUCUCCCUCUUUCGUGUCACCAUUUCAAUGAAGCUCAAACCCAUGACUAUCCAUGUGUCUCUACUAAUUCAUUCUCUUUGCUAAUUCAUCAAACCUAUUUACCUAAAACUAGACUAGCUAAUCCUAAUCACCAAUUUAUUAACUCAAAUCUCUUACCCUUGUCUCUACCAACAAUCUGAGUUUUUGCAUCCAUGGAGCACCAUGUCCCUAUAAAUAGCUGCUCAAUCAUCCCAAAAAACAAUACAAUUCAAAUUAACUUUUAAUUUCUAAAACCACCAUUAAAAGCCCUAUUGAACAAAUUCAAUUUAUGGAAUCACCACCAUUUUUGCCGCUCAACCCCGCCGGAAAAUCACCACUGUCUCUCACCUUCUGUCAGAAACCACCGUGACCAAUCACCCCCAAACUCAGACCACCAAGCGACACCUAUCAAUAACCAAAGCUUGUCUCCCUCCUCGUGUGGCUGUAAUUCGCCCUCCUCUGCGCACGAGCAUCAAUUCCCACCAGUCGCCGUCGACGUUUCGCCACCACCCACCUUCACCCGGAAAUCCUACCGCCUCUUUUGUGCGGGUCCCGAUCAGAAGCUGUCCGAUCAGUAACCUGCUCUCUUUCUCCCUUCUUUGUUUCUCGGCUUUACAAACUAUCUCGAUCCUCGGAGCUCAGGAAGGACGAUAAUCAAGGCUACAGAAAAAGUCUAGCCAAUCACGAAUAGAGGUGCCGACCAGGACGGUGGAUGCGAUUAGUGGCAAGGAUUUUGUCUUAUUAGGGCUCACCUAGUUUAAACUUAAUUUGUACUAAGUUCGAGUAAGAAUUUUCUACUAAGUUAUGUAAGUCACUUUUGAAUAUUAAUAUAGAACAUAGUUAUAUAAAAGUAUUAUGAG